AUCCAGUCGACGAAUCCCAAAUAGGAUGAAAGGUGCAUCUUGGAU
rfam:Schistosoma margrebowiei strain Zambia genome assembly, scaffold: SMRZ_contig0000121